AAGUCGUAACAAGGUUUCCGUAGGUGAACCUGCGGAAGGAUCAUUAUUGAAUUAUGUUUCUAGACGGGUUGUCACUGGCUCUUUGGAGCAUGUGCACGCCUGUUUAGAUUUCAUUUUCAUCCACCUGUGCACCUAUUGUAGUCUUUGGUUGGGUAAGGAGGAAGUGGUCAACCUAUCAGCAUUUGCUGGAUUUGAGGAGUCUGCAGUGUGAAAACAUUGCUGUCCUCAACUUGGCCAUGGAGUCUUUUGCCUGCCAGAGUCUAUGUCAAUCAUUAUACUCUAUUGAAUGUCAUUGAAUGUCUUUACAUGGGCUUGUAUGCCUAUGAAAAUUGUAAUACAACUUUCAGCAACGGAUCUCUUGGCUCUC
rnacentral:misc_RNA from 1 species